AUCCGCGGCUUGUGGUGGCUGUGGUUUUGUGCCCAGGACUCACACGUAAAAGGAGCUCAUUCGGAGGCAGGGGCACGCGCUUGUCCCCAGAACUCAAACCCCAGAGUCCCUCCGGCAGAUGAGAGUGGAGGUUGUAAAUCACCCUCCAUGCAAUGGUUCAUCAUAAAGGAUAUGGAGCAAAAUUAGAGGAGGCACGAGAAGGAAAGCCGGUGAUGAACAAGGAAAGUGCCUGGUUGAAGCUAGCUUGCAAUCCCAAAGUCAGAAGGUUGCCUGGGAAGCCAUGAAACAAAGCCAAAUCAAGGCAAAGCAGACACAUGGAGAUUUUGAGACUGAGAAGAGGAAAACUGAGGACAUUCAUGUGAGAUGGUUUCAAGUUUCCCUUAGAAGGAGAAGUUAUCUUCAGAAGGUCAGGUUGGUGAGGUGGGAGUUCAAAAACAACAAAGUAUGUAGCUACCAUUGUGAGGAAGACCAUGGAAAAUGGACGAAUCAGAAUGAAAGGCUUUCUGAACAAGAGGGAGUUUCCCUGCACAAGCUCCCUCCUGCCUGCUGCCAUGUGAGACCUGCGUUUUGCCUUCCACCAUGACUGUGAGGCCUCUUCCCCGGCCAUGUGGAACUCCCAGAGACAGAAGCAGAUAAUGCAAGUGUCAUCUACAUCUGGCAAAAGCCAAAGGUUUGGAAGAUGGAAAAAGGAAUCCAGGCAAAAAGGAGCCCAAGAUUGAAGUGAAUGACCAGGUGCACCAGUUCAAAUGCAAUCAGGAGGGACAGGGGUAGAGGGAGAAGCCUAGAGCAGCGCUUCUCAAACUGACUAUUCAAGUCACCUGGAGAUCUUGGUGAAAUGCAGACUCUGGUGCAGUAGGUCCUGGCGGGAACUUGAAAUUCUGCAUUUUGACCAAGGUCCAAGGUGAAUGUCCAGUGCUGUUGUCCUUGGCCUGCAGCAGGAGGAGCAGGGAUCUAAGACUUGGAGAGCAAAUGUCAAGCUCAGAAGAAAGACUGGAAGUUUGGGGACAAAACCCAAAUAUGGCUAAAGAAAGCCUGUAGGAUGAAGUUGGAAGUUCCAGAGCCUUCUCUUCACAUAAUGGGACAUGCAAGGGGGAAACCAAAUCAAAAGUGUAGAAUGCGUCGCUGGAUGUCUUUGACAUGUUAUUGUUCUGAUAGAAUAUCAGCGGGGAGCUACUGAGGACCUCCUCACUACCCUCCCUUGGAAGAGUUUGUCUGCAAUGGAGCCAACACAGUGGAAAGCAGAGCUGAGAAAUGGACAAACAACUCCUGAUGCCUCAUUUGAGCACCUGGAUUUAGCCAUGUCUGAAGCUAUUAUAUCCUUGAACUUUUGAAUCAUGCACUGUUUUAAGUCCCAAAGAAAGAGGCAGAGGAGCGACAGAGAUGACUUCCUCCCUUGAAAACGAAGCAUGUGGCCUGACAACCUAAAAUUGGGGUCAAUCCAUCCAAUUAUGGUGACUGCUUAGAAAUAUCCCUUUUCCUCCCAACGUUUUCCUUUCCUUCUCCCAUAAACAUAAUAAUGUCUCCUGCCAGUACUAAGGCAUGGCCCAUGGACCCACUAACACCUAUGCUCACGUUAGCUCUUGAGGCCGAGUGGCUUGGUUCUAUCUGGUUAUCAGAUGCAAACUUCAUCACAGCAGGGAUUUGGGCUAGACAUUAGAGGAAUAGUGUGGUACCAGAUGGUGUUUCUGAAGAAGGUUGUCCUAUUUUUGCAGUUUAAGGAUUUGAUAAUAAAUCUGCCUGGCAGCCCUCAGAUGU
rnacentral:lncRNA from 1 species